rnacentral:rRNA from 1 species
AGAGUUUGAUCAUGGCUCAGAACGUACGCUGGCGGCACGCCUAACACAUGCAAGUCGAACGAAGUAGCAAUACUUAGUGGCAGACGGGUGAGUAACAUGUAGGUAUCUGCCCUAUGGCCUGGAAUAACACGAGGAAACUUGUGCUAAUACCGGAUAAGUCUUUACGGAGAAAGCUUUAUGCACCAUUGGAUGAGCCUGCACUUGAUUAGUUUGUUGGUAGGGUAAUGGCCUACCAAGACUAUGAUCAAUAGCUGAUUUGAGAGGAUGAUCAGCCACAUUGGGACUGAGACACGGCCCAAACUCCUACGGGAGGCAGCAGUGGGGAAUCUUGCACAAUGGAGGAAACUCUGAUGCAGCGAUGCCGCGUGAGUGAAGAAGGCCCUUGGGUUGUAAAGCUCUUUCGUCGGGGAAGAAAAUGACUGUACCCGAAUAAGAAGGUCCGGCUAACUUCGUGCCAGCAGCCGCGGUAAUACGAAGGGACCUAGCGUAGUUCGGAAUUACUGGGCUUAAAGAGUUCGUAGGUGGUUGAAAAAGUUGGUGGUGAAAUCCCAGAGCUUAACUCUGGAACUGCCAUCAAAACUUUUCAGCUAGAGUUUGAUAGAGGAAAGCAGAAUUUCUAGUGUAGAGGUGAAAUUCGUAGAUAUUAGAAAGAAUACCAAUUGCGAAGGCAGCUUUCUGGAUCAUUACUGACACUGAGGAACGAAAGCAUGGGUAGCGAAGAGGAUUAGAUACCCUCGUAGUCCAUGCCGUAAACGAUGUGUGUUAGACGUUGGAGAUUUAUUUUCAGUGUCGCAGCGAAAGCGAUAAACACACCGCCUGGGGAGUACGACCGCAAGGUUAAAACUCAAAUGAAUUGACGGGGACCCGCACAAGUAGUGGAGCAUGUGGUUUAAUUCGAAGAUACGCGCAGAACCUUACCAACACUUGACAUGUUCGUCGCGACUCUAAGAGAUUAGAGUUUUCGGUUCGGCCGGACGAAACACAGGUGCUGCAUGGCUGUCGUCAGCUCGUGUCGUGAGAUGUUGGGUUAAGUCCCGCAACGAGCGCAACCCUCACUUUUAGUUGCCAUCAUUUAGUUGGGCACUCUGAAAGAACUGCCAGUGAUAAGCUGGAGGAAGGUGGGGAUGACGUCAAGUCCUCAUGGCCCUUACGUGUUGGGCUACACACGUGCUACAAUGGUAUCUACAACAGGAAGCAAAACUGCGAAGUUAAGCAAAUCCCUAAAAGAUACCUCAGUUCGGAUUGCACUCUGCAACUCGAGUGCAUGAAGCUGGAAUUACUAGUAAUCGUGGAUCAGCGUGCCACGGUGAAUGCGUUCCCGGGUCUUGUACACACCGCCCGUCACACCAUGGGAGUUGGUUCUACCUUAAGGCAAGGUUUUAAACCCUUGACCACGGUAUAGUCAGCGACUGGGGUGAAGUCGUAACAAGGUA